rnacentral:rRNA from 1 species
UACGGAGGGUGCAAGCGUUAUCCGGAUUUACUGGGUUUAAAGGGUGCGUAGGUGGACAUUUAAGUCAGCGGUGAAAUCUCCGGGCUUAACUCGGAAAUUGCCAUUGAUACUAUUUGUCUUGAAUUAUCUGGAGGUGAGCGGAAUAUGUCAUGUAGCGGUGAAAUGCUUAGAUAUGACAUAGAACACCAAUUGCGAAGGCAGCUCACUACGGAUAACAUUUGACACUGAGGCACGAAAGCGUGGGGGAUCAAACAGGG